CCUACGGGGGGCUGCAGUGAGGAAUAUUGGUCAAUGGGCGGGAGCCUGAACCAGCCAAGCCGCGUGAGGGAAGACGGUCCUAUGGAUUGUAAACCUCUUUAGGCGGGGAGCAAUGCCGGGCACGUGUGCCCGGCGGGAGCGUACCCGCAGAAUAAGCAUCGGCUAACUCCGUGCCAGCAGACGCGGUAAUCCGGGGGAUGCGAGCGUUAUCCGGAUUUAGUGGGUUUAAGGGGUGCGUAGGCGGAUUGUUAACUCAUCGGGAAAAUGGCCGGUGUCAACCCGGGGCGGCCGGUGAAAAUGGGGAUCUUGAGUGGGCGAGAGGUAUGCGGAAUGCGUGGUGUAGCGGUGAAAUGCAUAGAUAUCGCGCAGAACUCCGAUUGCGAAGGCAGCAUACCGGCGCCCGACUGACGCUGAGGCACGAAAGCGUGGGGAUCGAACAGGAUUAGAUACCCGGGUAGUC
rnacentral:rRNA from 1 species